UUUAGUAACGGACCCCACUAGAUCCAAUCUGUUUAGUAAUGGAUCCACUAGAUCCAAUCUGUUUAGUAAUGGAUCCCACUAGAUCCAAUCUGUUUAGUAAUGGACCCACUGGAUCCAAUCUGUUUAGUAAUGGAUCCCACUAGAUCCAAUCUGUUUAGUAAUGGACCCAAUGGAUCCAAUCUGUUUAGUAAUGGAUCCACUAGAUCCAAUCUGUUUAGUAAUGGAUCCACUAGAUCCAAUCUGUUUAGUAAUGGACCCAAUGGAUCCAAUCUGUUUAGUAAUGGACCCAAUCUGUUUAGUAAUGGACCCAAUCUGUUUAGUAAUGGAUCUAGGACUAGAUGGUCUGACUGUCUGUGUCUAGGACUAGGUGGUGUAUCUGUCUGUGUCUAGGACUAGGUGGUGUAUCUGUCUGUGUCUAGGACUAGGUGGUGUAUCUGUCUGUGUCUAGGACUAGGUGGUGUAUCUGUCUGUGUCUAGGUGGUGUAACUAUCCAACCCUCUAUCUCUGUGUCUAGGUGGUGUAACUAUCUAACCCUCUAUCUAUCUCUGUGUCUAGGACUAGGUGGUGUAACUAUCUAACCCUCUAUCUAUCUCUGUGUCUAGGACUAGGUGGUGUAACUAUCUAACCCUCUAUCUAUCUCUGUGUCUAGGUGGUGUAACUAUCUAACCCUCUAUCUAUCUCUGUGUCUAGGUGUUGUAACUAUCUAACCCUCUAUCUAUCUCUGUGUCUAGGACUAGGUGUUGUAACUAUCUAACCCUCUAUCUAUCUCUGUGUCUAGGACUAGGUGGUGUAACUAUCUAACCCUCUAUCUCUGUGUCUAGGUGGUGUAACUAUCUAACCCUCUAUCUAUCUCUGUGUCUAGGUGGUGUAACUAUCUAACCCUCUAUCUAUCUCUGUGUCUAGGUGGUGUAACUAUCUAACCCUCUAUCUAUCUCUGUGUCUAGGUGGUGUAACUAUCUAACCCUCUAUCUAUCUCUGUGUCUAGGUGGUGUAACUAUCUAACCCUCUAUCUAUCUCUGUGUCUAGGUGGUGUAACUAUCUAACCCUCUAUCUAUCUCUGUGUCUAGGUGGUGUAACUAUCUAACCCUCUAUCUAUCUCUGUGUCUAGGACUAGGUGUUGUAACUAUCUAACCCUCUAUCUAUCUCUGUGUCUAGGUGGUGUAACUAUCUAACCCUCUAUCUAUCUCUGUGUCUAGGUGGUGUAACUAUCUAACCCUCUAUCUAUCUCUGUGUCUAGGUGGUGUAACUAUCUAACCCUCUAUCUAUCUCUGUGUCUAGGACUAGGUGUUGUAACUAUCUAACCCUCUAUCUAUCUCUGUGUCUAGGUGGUGUAACUAUCUAACCCUCUAUCUAUCUCUGUGUCUAGGUGGUGUAACUAUCUAACCCUCUAUCUAUCUCUGUGUCUAGGUGGUGUAACUAUCUAACCCUCUAUCUAUCUCUGUGUCUAGGUGGUGUAACUAUCUAACCCUCUAUCUAUCUCUGUGUCUAGGACUAGGUGGUGUAACUAUCUAACCCUCUAUCUAUCUCUGUGUCUAGGUGGUGUAACUAUCUAACCCUCUAUCUAUCUCUGUGUCUAGGUGGUGUAACUAUCUAACCCUCUAUCUAUCUCUGUGUCUAGGACUAGGUGUUGUAACUAUCUCACCCUCUAUCUAUCUCUGUGUCUAGGUGGUGUAACUAUCUAACCCUCUAUCUAUCUCUGUGACUAGGUGGUGUAACUAUCUAACCCUCUAUCUAUCUCUGUGUCUAGGUGGUGUAACUAUCUAACCCUCUAUCUAUCUCUGUGUCUAGGACUAGGUGGUGUAACUAUCUAACCCUCUAUCUAUCUCUGUGUCUAGGUGGUGUAACUAUCUAACCCUCUAUCUAUCUCUGUGUCUAGGUGGUGUAACUAUCUAACCCUCUAUCUAUCUCUGUGUCUAGGUGGUGUAACUAUCUAACCCUCUAUCUAUCUCUGUGUCUAGGUGGUGUAACUAUCUAACCCUCUAUCUAUCUCUGU